rnacentral:rRNA from 1 species
GACGAACGCUGGCGGCGUGCUUAACACAUGCAAGUCGAACGGAAAGGCCCUGCUUUUGUGGGGGUCUCGAGUGUCGCACGGGUGAGUAACACGUGAGUAACCUGCCCUUGACUUUGGGAUAACUUCAGGAAACUGGGGCUAAUACCGGAUAUGAGCUCCUGCGGCAUGGUGGGUGUUGGAAAGUUUCGGCGGUUGGUGAUGGACGCGCGGCUUAUCAGCUUGCUGGUGGGGGAGUGGCUUACCAAGGCUGUGACGGGUAGCCGGCCUGAGAGGGGGACCGGCGACAUAGGGACUGAGAGAGGGACCAGAAGCGUACGGGAGGCAGCAGUGGGGAAUAUGGCACAAUGGGCGGAAGCCUGAUGCAGAAACGCUGCGUGCGGGAUGACGGGUUGCGGGUGGUAAACAGCUGUCGGAUGAGACGAAGGGGGAGUGACGGUAACGGGUAAAGAAGCACCGGCUAACUACGUG